CAAAGACUUAACUCUGAUUCAGUUUGCUGAAUUUCUUUGCUUAGUAGUCUCAAGACGCUUCAGUUUAUGAGAAUAUAAUAACGGUGAUUCUAACAAUUAUAGAUAAGACCAAAGCUGCUAACAAGUAAACCCCUGCACCAGAAGUGGUAGCCUAUUAAAUUAGAGGAAGACUAUUAUAAUUUUUUUUUAAAUGUACUAAAGACAUUUAAAGGAAUAUUAACGAAACCUGCAAACGGUUGUGUAAAACUAGUUGAAUAGGUAAACAUCCUGCACCUCUCCAUCUGUGAUUUGCUGAAGUACAACACGUAUUACAUUGACAGUUGGUUGCCACUCCGUGGAUGACGUUCGAUUAUGACGUUAUAAUCUCGAGAUGGACACAAACAAGAGGAACGAUUUAACUCGAGGAGGUUCUAACUCGAGGUACAAUGACUUGAAAGGUACAGCAAAAGAUACUUCAUUCACCUGAUGUUUUGAGUACUGUAAAGAUGCAGCAACUCUCCAGCUUUGUUAUACAUGGAUCAAUUUUACAAAAUAAUAAUAUCGAAAAAGAAAAUAUUUAACUAUGAUGAACAUGGUUAUUACAAUUAAAUAUGCAUUCUGUAAAAAACUAAAUUAAGAUCCUCUAGGCAAAAGAAACUUCUUAAAACCGGAUACUAUUUUCUAUGGCAAUAGAUCAUUCAUCUUGUUUUCUGCUCGUCUUUGGAAUGAUCUUCCACAGGCUAUUAAAGAGACGGCGUCAAUUGACAUUUUAAAAAUUGUCUGAAAUUAGAAAUUACUUUGCUCCUCUUGUUUUAUACUCAAAAACUGAUUGAAUCUGAUUGACAUCGGAUAGUCAGAUGCCAUUUUCACUCGAGCUCCUGUGAGUUCAGUUCCGGCGAGCUCUCAAUUAUGGGAGCUUCAAAAUGCUGGAGAACGGAGCGGUGAAUAUGGUUUUUCUGCGUUUAUUCUUUAUUUUUUGGUUACUUUUACUGCGCUUAGAAGCACUGUUUUGUAUUAAGCGCUC